rnacentral:rRNA from 1 species
UACGUAGGGAGCAAGCGUUGUCCGGAAUCAUUGGGCGUAAAGCGCGCGUAGGUGGCCCGGUAAGUCCGCUCUGAAAGUCACAGGCUCAACCUGUGAAAGCGGGUGGAUACUGCCGGGCUAGAGUCCGGAAGAGGCGAGUGGAAUUCCGGGUGUAGCGGUGGAAUGCGUAGAGAUCCGGAAGAACACCGGUGGCGAAGGCGGUUGGCUGGGCCGUGGCUGACACUGAUGCGCGACAGCGUGGGGAGCAACAGG